CAAUAGCGUAUAUUAAAGUUGUUGCGGUUAAAAGCUCGUAGUUGGAUUUCUGUCAAAGGGUGUUCCUCCGCCCCUUGUGGUGAGUAGUGGACAUACCGUUGGCAUCUUCUUGGGGAGUGUAUCUGCUCUUUAUUGAGUGGUGCACAAGCCAGGACUUUUACUUUGAGGAAAUGAGAGUGUUUCAAGCAGGCUUGCGCCGUGAAUACGUUAGCAUGGAAUAAUAGCAUCGGACCUCGCUCCAAAGCUGUUGGGUUUCUUGGGGCGAGGUAAAGGUGAAUAGGGAUUGUUGGGGGGCAUUCGUAUUUCGUUGUCAGAGGUGAAAUUCUUGGAUUUACGAAAGACGAACAACUGCGAAAGCACUUGCCAAGAGUGUUUUCAUUAAUCAAGAACGAAAGUUAGAGGAUCGAAGAUGAUUAGAU
rnacentral:rRNA from 1 species